UGAUGACGAGACGCUAAGGCGUUGAAGCAGUGUAUGUCAGACUUCCAAGAAAAGCUCGCAAUGUCACAAAUAAAAGAUGCCUGUACCAUAACCGACACAGGUGGGUAGGUAGAGUAUACUAAGGGGCGCGAGAUAACUCUCUCUAAGGAACUCGGCAAAAUGACUCCGUAACUUCGGGAGAAGGAGUGCCUUAUUUAUAAGGUUGCAAUAACAAGAUCCAAGCAACUGUUUAUCAAAAACACAGGUCUCCGCUAAGUCGUAAGACGAUGUAUGGGGGCUGACGCCUGCCCAGUGCCAGAAGGUUAAAGAAGUUGGUUAGUGUAUGCGAAGCUGAUGACUGAAGCCCUGGUGAACGGCGGCCGUAACAAUAACGGUCCUAAGGUAGCGAAAUUCCUUGUCGGGUAAGUUCCGACCCGCACGAAAGGCGUAAUGAUUUGGAUACUGUCUCGGAGAGAGGCUCGGUGAAAUAGACUUGUCUGUGAAGAUGCGGACUACCUGCACCAGGACAGAAAGACCCUAUGAAGCUUUACUGUAACUUGAAAUUGGAAUUGGACUUUGCUUGCGCAGUAUAGGUGGGAAGCGUUGAAAAUAUUCUUGCGGGAGUAUUGGAGCUAUCAGUGAGAUACCACUCUUGUAAUGUUAGAUUUCUAACUUUGAACCAUAAUCUGGUCAAAGAACAGUUUCAGGUGGGCAGUUUGACUGGGGCGGUCGCCUCCCAAAUGGUAACGGAGGCGUACAAAGGUUUCCUCUGAACGGAUAGAAAUCGUAUCUAGAGUGUAAAGGCAUAAGGAAGCUUGACUGUGAGACCUACAAGUCGAGCAGGGACGAAAGUCGGUCUUAGUGAUCUGACGGUACUGAGUGGAAAGGCCGUCACUCAACGGAUAAAAGUUACUCUAGGGAUAACAGGCUGAUCUCCCCCAAGAGUUCACAUCGACGGGGAGGUUUGGCACCUCGAUGUCGGCUCAUCGCAUCCUGGGGCGGUAGUACGUCCCAAGGGUUGGGCUGUUCGCCCAUGAAAGCGGUACGCGAGCUGGGUUCAGAACGUCGUGAGACAGUUCGGUCCAUAUCCGGUGUAGGCGCUAGAAUAUUGAGAGGAGCCUUCUUUAGUACGAGAGGACCGAGAAGGACACACCGCUGGUGUACCAGUUAUCGUGCCAACGGUAAACGCUGGGUAGCUAUGUGUGGAGUGGAUAACCGCUGAAAGCAUCUAAGUGGGAAGCCCACCUCGAGAUGAGUAUUCCC
rnacentral:rRNA from 1 species